rnacentral:lncRNA from 1 species
GAAAAGGGAUCUAUGGGGAGAGAGUAGAUGACAAGGGAAUAAAGGUAACACAUGUGAGAAGACGCCAUGUUUUGCGGCAAUAUCACGAGGGGUCACACUGUGCGACUUUAUAAUCUCGAUGUUUAUGUGCCUAUAUCUUGGCUUCUCCUACUUGAACUCUAGCUUCUAUCGCACCUUCUCCGAAGUAUCUCUACCACUUGGCAUACAAACAGUACCAGCAAGUUUUAGGCAUCAAUCUUCCAUUGUAUUAUUGGGCG